AUCGCUUCUCGGCCUGUUGGCUAAAACGAAGUGUGGUAUCUGUUCUUAUCAGUUUAAUAUCUCUAUCCGAGGACAGUGUAGUACAUGGAUCUUUGGAGGAAGGCACUGGGCUAGCAGCUUGCGCUGUCCGCUCCACACAUCAACCUGGCAUUGCAGUACCUCCAGGAACGGUGCUCCCCCU
ensembl:snRNA U2 U2 spliceosomal RNA